GCUACACAUGCAAGUUGAACGGAGUUAUAUUGUAGCUUGCUACGAUUUAACUUAGUGGCAGACGGGUGAGUAAUGUAUAGGAAUCUACCUAGUAGUACGGAAUAAUUGUUGGAAACGGCAACUAAUACCGUAUACGCCCUACGGGGGAAAGAUUUAUUGCUAUUAGAUGAGCCUAUAUUAGAUUAGCUAGUUGGUAGGGUAAAAGCUUACCAAGGCAAUGAUCUAUAGCUGAUCUGAGAGGAUGAUCAGCCACACUGGAACUGAGAUACGGUCCAGACUCCUACGGGAGGCAGCAGUGGGGAAUAUUGGACAAUGGGCGAAAGCCUGAUCCAGCCAUGCCGCAUGAGUGAAGAAGGCCUUCGGGUUGUAAAGCUCUUUUAGUGAGGAAGAUAAUGACGGUACUUACAGAAGAAGUCCCGGCAAACUCAAG
rnacentral:rRNA from 1 species